rnacentral:rRNA from 1 species
UACGUAGGGUGCAAGCGUUGUCCGGAAUUAUUGGGCGUAAAGAGCUCGUAGGCGGUUUGUCGCGUCUGCUGUGAAAACGCGAGGCUCAACCUCGCGCCUGCAGUGGGUACGGGCAGACUAGAGUGCGGUAGGGGAGAUUGGAAUUCCUGGUGUAGCGGUGGAAUGCGCAGAUAUCAGGAGGAACACCGGUGGCGAAGGCGGUUCUCUGGGCCUGUACUGACGCUGAGGAGCGAAAGCGUGGGGAGCGAACAGG